GCGUUGGUGUUUCACUGGAAGAAUUCUCGCCUGCCACGCGGGAGACCGGGGUUCGAUUCCCCGCCAACGCA
rnacentral:tRNA from 1 species